CAUCUCCUCUCGCACUGCCAGCCACAUCCCUGAGACACCGUGGUGAAGGUGAAGGUCAGAGUCAACGGAUUUGGUCGUAUUGGGUGCCUGGUCAGCAGGGCUACUUUUAACUGGUAAAGUGGAUAUUGUCACCAUCAGUGACCCCUUCAUUGAUCUCAACUACAUGGUCUACAUGUUCCAAUAUGAUUCCACCCAUGGCACAUUCCAUGGCACCAUCAAGGCUGAGAACGGGAAGCUUGUCAUCAAUGGAAAUCCCAUCACCAUCUUCCAGGAGCGAGAUCCCUCCAAGAUCAAAUGGGGUGAUGCUGGUGCUGGGUACAUUGUGGAGUCCACCGGCAUCUUUACCACCAUGGAGAAGGCUGGGGCUCACUUACAGGGAGGAGCUAAAAGGGUCUUCAUCUCUGCCCCCUCUGCUGAUGCCCCCAUGUUGGUAAUGAGCAUGAACCAUGAGAAGUAUGACAACAGCCUCAAGAUCAUCAGCAAUACUUCCUGCUCUGCCAACUGCUUAGCACCCCUGGCCAACAUCAUCCAUGACAACUUUGAUAUUGUGGAAGGACUCAUGACCACAGUCCACACCAUCACUGCCACCCAGAAGACUGUGGAUGGUUCCUCUGGGAAACUGGCAUGACGGUGGUGGGACUCUCCAGAAUAUCAUCCCUUCUUCUACUGGCACUGCCAAGGCUGUAGGCAAGGUCAUCCCUGAGCUGAAUGGAAAACUCACCGGCAUGGCCUUCUGUGUCCCCACUGCCAACACGUCAGUCGUGGACCUGAACUACCAUCUGGAAAAACCUACCAAAUAUGAUGGCAUUAAGAAGGUGGUGAAGCAGGCGUCAGAGGGCCCUCUCUAAGGCAUCCUGGGCUACAACACCGAGCACCAGGUUGUCUUCUUCGACUUCAACAGCGACACCCACUCUUCCACCUUUGAUGUUGUGGCCGCCAUUGCCCUCAACAACCACUUUGUCAAGCUGAUUUCCUGGUAUGACAGUGAAUUUGGCUAUAGCAACAGGGUGGUGGACCUCAUGGCCCACAAGGCCUCCAAGGAGUAAGACCCCUGAACCACCAGCCCCAGUGACAGCACAAGAGGAAGAGCAAGGCCCUCACUGAUGGGGAGUCCCUGACACACUCAGUCCCCAGUCACAGUGAGAAUCUCCCCUCCUCACAGUUUCCAUACAGACCCCCUGAAGAGGAAGGGGCCUAGGAAGUCCCACCUUGUCUUGUACCAUCAAUAAAGUCCCCUGUGCUCAGCCAAAAAAAUAAAUAAAUAAAAUUUUUUUCUAU